GAUCCGUGACCAGCAGGGCGGCGUGUGUAAUUCUCCUGGAAAGAGGUGCAAUGAAUGGUGAAAGCCCAGUUCAACACACGUCUCGCGCUGCGUACCGUCCGGAAUCUCGGAGUCGCGUUCCCUGGGACGGGAGCGUAAAUCAGAUGGUAUAUUUCAUCUAAAGCUAAAUAUCUUCUCGAGACCGAUAGAGAACAAGUACCAUGAGGGAAAGAUGAAAAGUACUUUGAAAAGAUGGUUAGACGCGCCUGCAACCACUGUAUUACAAGCACUUGGAUCCUUCCAGUUUACUGGAUCAGCGAGUCCCCACCGGGUGUGCAGCGCUGGCCAACCAAGGUCACGCUCGUCCCCAUUCCGGGCUCGUGGAAUCCGGUAGAUAUUAUCGGCGCAACUAGCA
rnacentral:rRNA from 1 species